AGUGAACGCUGGCGGUAGGCCUAACACAUGCAAGUCGAACGGCAGCACAGUAAGAGCUUGCUCUUACGGGUGGCGAGUGGCGGACGGGUGAGGAAUACAUCGGAAUCUACUUUUUCGUGGGGGAUAACGUAGGGAAACUUACGCUAAUACCGCAUACGACCUACGGGUGAAAGCAGGGGAUCUUCGGACCUUGCGCGAUUGAAUGAGCCGAUGUCGGAUUAGCUAGUUGGCGGGGUAAAGGCCCACCAAGGCGACGAUCCGUAGCUGGUCUGAGAGGAUGAUCAGCCACACUGGAACUGAGACACGGUCCAGACUCCUACGGGAGGCAGCAGUGGGGAAUAUUGGACAAUGGGCGCAAGCCUGAUCCAGCCAUACCGCGUGGGUGAAGAAGGCCUUCGGGUUGUAAAGCCCUUUUGUUGGGAAAGAAAAGCAGCAGGUUAAUACCCCGCUGUUCCGACGGUACCCAAAGAAUGAGCACCGGCUAACUUCGUG
rnacentral:rRNA from 1 species